GACGAACGCUGGCGGCGUGCCUAAUACAUGCAAGUAGAACGCAGUUUCGAACGGUUGAGUAACGCGUAGGUAACUGCCUGGUAGCGGGGGAUAACUAUUGGAAACGAUAGCUAAUACCGCAUACUACCACUUUGCCCUGCGUUGUAUUAGCUAGUUGGUGAGGUAACGGCUCACCCAGGCAACGACACAAAGCCGACCUGAGAGGGUGAUCGGCCAGCCUGGGACUGGGACACGGCCCAGACUCCUUCGGGAGGCAGCAGUAGGGAAUCUUCGGCAAUGGGGGGAACCCUGACCGAGCAACGCAGCGUGAGUGAAGAAGGUUUUCGGAUCGUAAAGCUCUGUUGUUAAGGAAGCGGUACUGAAAGAGAAAGGGACGGCUAACUACGUGCCAGCAGCCGCGGUAAUAG
rnacentral:rRNA from 1 species